CUGCUCCUGUAGUUAAGUCUGUAGUUAAGUCUAAAAUUGUAUAUAUUGAAUCUUUCGUUAUAAAUUUCCAUCUACUGCAUGCAGGAUCGCCGGGAGAGAGGCAGAGUGGAACUUUAUCUCGGGCGGGGCUCGCAAAACAAGGGACCCUUAAAAUUUAUUGAUGCAAGAUUGAUGAACUCAGAAUAUAAAUCCCAGUACCCAGAUGAAUAAUACAUCUAAAAGUCUCAAAAAAUUAAGAAAAUUGUCGGCAAAAAAUAAACGAUUUUAUGUCCGCAAAAUUUUUUCCGGCACCAAAUUUCCGGCGCCAAUUUUCCGGCGCCAUAUGUCGUGGAAAUUUUUUGAUCAAGAUUAUACGUAUAGUGUAAUUUACAGCAUGAGUUCCACAUUUGAAUUUUAUUAUACCAGUAAAUUGUUAAACGCACCCUUAACCUUAAUUUUGUGUUACACAGCUUCGAUCAUGUUAUAUAUACCCAUUAUCAGUAACCUUGCCCGCUCAUUCAAGUGCUACAGUAUGUAUAUCUAUACUGAAAAAAAAAUCAAUCAAAAAAUCAAAAAAAUAAAAAAAUACAAAAGUCAAAAAAUCAAAAAAUCAAAAAAUCAAAAAAUACAAAAAUCAAAAAAUCAAAAAAUACAAAAAUAAAAAAAUAAAAAAAUAAAAAAAUACAAAAAUCAAAAAAUACAAAAAUACAAAAAUCAAAAAAAUCAAAAAAUACAAAAAUCAAAAAAUCUAAAAAUACAAAAAUCAAAAAAUCAAAAAAUACAAACAUCAAAAAAUCAAAAAAUCAAAAAAUCUAAAAAUACAAAAACUGUUUUUUGCUGUCGCGUCUGGGCCGCCGUAAAAUCUGUCUUCGUUCCCAAAGCCCCGUUUACACGACAGUCAUUUUGGGCACGGCAAGCUAAUUAAUUUUGGCACGCGGACCCAUUUUCUUGGGCACGGCACUCGAUUUUUGUCGUGUAAACGCAAAAUUAAAGAUUUAAAGGUACCCAAAAUUUUAGGCGGGCCGAGACUUCCGAUCCUCGGAGGUAGUCUCGGCCCGUCUAAAAAUGGGUCCGCGGACCAAAAACUUGUUACGCACGCGUUUUGUAGUCACAUUGCAAAAAUAUUAUGUCUGUACAAACAAAAUAUCGAGGGAAAAUGUGGUCAGACGAAACCAUAUACAAGAGCUCCGAUAUAUAUUAUGGUCAUGCAUAAAGUAAAGAAACUAGUAUUCAACUGCAUGGUAUUCUCAGGGCCGCCCAGAGGUUGGCGGGGGCCCGGGGCAAAUUUUUUUUAGGGGCCCCUAUCUAAAAAAAUUUUCCCGGAAAAAAAUUUUUCCGGAUAACAACCUCCCCCCCCCGUCGCCAAAAAAUUUUCGGUCAAUGUACCAUUUUAGGGGUAAAAUUUUUUUCCCGGAGUACUAGAAAAUUUUGCCGGACGAGUACGUUGCAAAUGCUUUCCAGGGACUUUAUCUCAUUUUUUUAUGCCAAAAUUCGGUACUUAGCCCAAGAAAACAGAUAUCUUGUCCUUUGCGCGGAAAUAUUUAACACACAAAACCCCCCUUUCCCCCCCCCCCCCCCCCUCUGGGCGGCCCUGGGUAUUCUUGCUACACUCAAGUCAAAGCCCACAGCAAAGCGAAGAGAAAAGGAACUGUUAUUAAGCUUAUUAAGCAGUUUAAGAAUGCUGAUAUAUGUGAUGGUGAAGAUUAUUGUUACUGUUUCGUAAUUAUUAACAAGUGCAUCGGCUAUCGGUCAACCGAUUCACCAUAAUCAUGCAGUGAGCCUACAGCGAAUCAUUGUUGUAGUAUAAAUUUUCAACGCGCUAUUACACGCUGAACAGUUAGAUGAAAACAGAAAUUCUUUCCUUCACAUCCCAACAGCCCUUUUGUACAUAACGUGCUUUCAUUACACAUAUCAAUAUCAAUAUCACAUAUAAUAAAGGCUUAUUUACCGAGCGUGAGGUCUCUAGUGCAGUGUGAAAUAUCAGACCAAGGGUUUUUCCAUGCAAUAAACAGAGGUCUGAUAUUUCACAGUACAGACCGAACAAGCGAGGUCAAUAAUCGGUUUAUUAUAUGGCUGAACUGAGUCUGUGAACAUAUGCUUUUCGGCGUGAAUUAAAUCGGCUAUCGUCCGUUUCAAUGGGUAACAAUAUACGGUAGGCAUGCAUGGUCAAUCAAAAACAAUUUGAUUGGUUGUUUGAAAUUUUUAUCUGUAAUUAGCACAAUUGGAAAUUUAGAAAGCAAAAUUUUUUUCUGUUUGCAAAGCAAAAAUGUCCCGCCAGAUAAACGACAUCCGGGACACCGGUCCAGAUACGGAAAAUACGGACCACAGUUCGGAUAUGGGUUUUUAAGGACCGCUUGUCAACCAAUCAGAAUAGAGAAUUUUGAAAAGCCAUAUAAUAAUAUCGCAUAUUACAUAUACAGGGUGUAUAAAAAAAAACUGAACAGAUUUGAAAUUGCUCUCAAUUUCGCAAAACACCUAUUUGUAUCUGGGUUUUAUAUAUAUAGCUUCUUUGGGUACUUAUAAUGUCGAAUAAUGAAAAAAAUUUCUCGAACUCAAAUUUUGUGAACCAGGGGGGUGUGUCUUUACCAAGAAACUAAAAAUGGCUCGCGCACAAAAUUUAAAAGCCGUAAUCAUAGUUUGAGUUAAUAGAUGGAAAAUUUGUCGGGUUUUUAAUUACUGUACAAAAUUUCAGACAAUUUGGUUUAGUUUACUGUCGUUCCAAUUGAAGUGUUCCUCAAAUAUUGAUUCAAUACAUUACCUCAAGCUGACCAAUUUGUUUCAUCAAGUUCCUCGAGAUAUUCAUACACUUCCUGCGAAAAAGCCAAUUCCAAGUAUUUGAUCAUUUCUGGUCACUUCCUUUCUAUUUAUGAUUGGUUAGUUGCACAAACAGCAAAGGUGAUUGGUGCAUUCAAACUAUUCAACAGGAAAUUUACAAUUAUACUAGGAAGUGUAUGAAUAUUUCGAGGAACUUGAUGAAAUGAAUUGGUCAACCCGAG